rnacentral:rRNA from 1 species
ACGAACGCUGGCGGCGUGGAUAAGACAUGCAAGUCGAACGAGAGAAUUGCUAGCUUGCUAAUAAUUCUCUAGUGGCGCACGGGUGAGUAACACGUGAGUAACCUGCCCCCGAGAGCGGGAUAGCCCUGGGAAACUGGGAUUAAUACCGCAUAGUAUCGAAAGAUUAAAGCAGCAAUGCGCUUGGGGAUGGGCUCGCGGCCUAUUAGUUAGUUGGUGAGGUAACGGCUCACCAAGGCGAUGACGGGUAGCCGGUCUGAGAGGAUGUCCGGCCACACUGGAACUGAGACACGGUCCAGACACCUACGGGUGGCAGCAGUCGAGAAUCAUUCACAAUGGGGGAAACCCUGAUGGUGCGACGCCGCGUGGGGGAAUGAAGGUCUUCGGAUUGUAAACCCCUGUCAUGUGGGAGCAAAUUAAAAAGAUAGUACCACAAGAGGAAGAGACGGCUAACUCUGUGCCAGCAGCCGCGGUAAUACAGAGGUCUCAAGCGUUGUUCGGAAUCACUGGGCGUAAAGCGUGCGUAGGCUGUUUCGUAAGUCGUGUGUGAAAGGCGCGGGCUCAACCCGCGGACGGCACAUGAUACUGCGAGACUAGAGUAAUGGAGGGGGAACCGGAAUUCUCGGUGUAGCAGUGAAAUGCGUAGAUAUCGAGAGGAACACUCGUGGCGAAGGCGGGUUCCUGGACAUUAACUGACGCUGAGGCACGAAGGCCAGGGGAGCGAAAGGGAUUAGAUACCCCUGUCGUCCUGGCAGUAAACGGUGCACGCUUGGUGUGCGGGGAAUCGACCCCCUGCGUGCCGGAGCUAACGCGUUAAGCGUGCCGCCUGGGGAGUACGGUCGCAAGAUUAAAACUCAAAGAAAUUGACGGGGACCCGCACAAGCGGUGGAGUAUGUGGCUUAAUUCGAUGCAACGCGAAGAACCUUACCUGGGCUUGACAUGUAAUGAACAACAUGUGAAAGCAUGCGACUCUUCGGAGGCGUUACACAGGUGCUGCAUGGCCGUCGUCAGCUCGUGUCGUGAGAUGUUUGGUUAAGUCCAGCAACGAGCGCAACCCCUGUUGCCAGUUACCAGCACGUGAAGGUGGGGACUCUGGCGAGACUGCCCAGAUCAACUGGGAGGAAGGUGGGGACGACGUCAGGUCAGUAUGGCCCUUAUGCCCAGGGCUGCACACGUACUACAAUGCCCAGUACAGAGGGGGCCGAAGCCGCGAGGCGGAGGAAAUCCUAAAAACUGGGCCCAGUUCGGACUGUAGGCUGCAACCCGCCUACACGAAGCCGGAAUCGCUAGUAAUGGCGCAUCAGCUACGGCGCCGUGAAUACGUUCCCGGGUCUUGUACACACCGCCCGUCACAUCAUGGAAGCCGGUCGCACCCGAAGUAUCUGAAGCCAACCGCAAGGAGGCAGGGUCCUAAGGUGAGACUGGUAACUGGGAUG